rnacentral:tRNA from 1 species
AGAAAGGUAAGCUAAAUUAAGCUAGUAGGUUCAUACCCUAUUUAUAGAAAUAAAAUUCUCCUCUCUA